UGGGGAAUAUUGGACAAUGGGCGGAAGCCUGAUCCAGCAACGCCGCGUGAGGGAUGACGGCCUUCGGGUUGUAAACCUCUUUCAGCACAGACGAAGCGCCUGUGAAGGUGGUGACGGUAUGUGCAGAAGAAGCACCGGCCAACUACGUGCCAGCAGCCGCGGUAAUACGUAGGGUGCGAGCGUUGUCCGGAAUUAUUGGGCGUAAAGGGCUCGUAGGCGGUUUGUCGCGUCGGGAGUGAAAUCCACUGGCUUAACUGGUGGCUUGCUUUCGAUACGGGCAGACUGGAGGUAUGCAGGGGAGAACGGAAUUCCUGGUGUAGCGGUGAAAUGCGCAGAUAUCAGGAGGAACACCGGUGGCGAAGGCGGUUCUCUGGGCAUGUCCUGACGCUGAGGAGCGAAAGUGUGGGGAGCGAACA
rnacentral:rRNA from 2 species